GAUCACCUGUGCGCAGGGUGGUGGAGACUGACUCCUGAUUGAGCAGCAUUUCCCUCCCAGCCAAUCACGGUGUGACUAAGGCUUAAAAGAGUUGGGGGGAUGGCACACAGGCAGCUCUCACCCUAAUCCUGAGUCUGUCCUGUGCGCGCUAUUUGUAGUGAGCCAACUGUUUAUUUGGGAACCCCUUAAAAACCCAAGCCCCUUUACACCUUCAGUUUGACAUUUUAUUUCCCUGGGGCUUGUAGGAGGCAUUGUGUUUGUUAUAUACUAUCCAAAUAGUGAUGACUGGGAAUUCCCCCCUAGAUAUUCAUGUUUUAAGCUUAUAUUUCAUAUCCCUUGCCUAUUAGGAAAAAUUCCCUCUCAUGAGAUAUUAAGUCUGCAGGAAUGGCAGUGAUGGACGCAGACGUUUAACACAGCAUAAGCAGCCAUGAUGUUCACUGAGGAGUCUGCCAAGGAAGGUAAUGAGGAGCAGGUGUGUAGCCAGUAUAUUGGGUAGAACAUGUGGGCGGACUAAUGUGGGUACAGGAAUCAAAAGAUGCCAUAUCAGAGCGCAGGAGAGGGCUCGGUAUCCAUCGCGUCCUGCCUGGUUUAACUGACACGUGUGCUGAGCUAAAUGACCAAAAGCGUGUUGUGUUGUGUUGUUUCAGUCCUGGCUGAUAGUAAGUGACGACUCAAACUGUGGUCGUGGCGGCGGCAGAAACAAACACAACAAACAAGCCUCACAUCGGAGCCCAGCGAGGGAGAGGAAAACGCCGCUGAAUCAUUUAAGCCGCUCUCCCCGACCACAACACCGCAAAACCAUUCCUGGGCUCCAUUUAGACCAGCUGCAUGAUUUAUCCUCCUGUAAACAACACCGGUGGCGCACACAAGAUGCUUUUAAUUGGCUUAGGAUUGGAUUAGGCUUUCUGAAAAGCAAUAAUGAUAAUGUGAUUUAUUGGUAAAGCACUUGUUAAAACCAAUAUUACAAAGUGCUUUACAA